rnacentral:lncRNA from 1 species
UUUAGGCCCGGCUUUGUCCGCGGCCUAUUUUUGGCACACGGAGGCCCCUCGAAAAGUCUCGCGGCAUUCCGAGUCCGGCGGACGAAGUUGGCCAGCCCCACCCCCCAAGGCUAUAGCCCACCCGUUUUUGUGGCCUUUUUCCGCUGGACGAACUUGGCGCCCCGGCCUUCGGGCGGUUAUUUUUGGGCGCGGCUUUGCCCGCGGCCUAUUUUUGGCACACAGAGGCCCCUCGCAAAGUCUCGCGGCAUUCCGAGUCCGGCGGACGAAGUUGGCCAGCCCCACCCCCCAAGGCUAUAGCCCACCCGUUUUUGUGGCCUUUUUCCGCUGGACGAAUUUGGCGCCCCGGCCUUCGGGUGGUUAUUUUUGGACGCGGCUUUUCCCGCGGCCUAUUUUUGGCACACGGAGGUGCCUCCCGAAGUCUCGCGCCAUUCCGAGUCCGGCGGACGAAGUUGGCCAGCCCCACCCCCCAAGGCUAUAGCCCACCCAUUUUUGUGGCCUUUUUCCGCUGGACGAACUUGGCGCCCCGGGCUUCGGGCAUUUAUUUUUGGGCGCGGCUGUGUCCGCGGCCUAUUUUUGGCACACGGAGGUGCCUUGCGAAGUCUCGCGCCAUUCCGAGACCAGAGGGUGAAGUUGGCCAGCCCCACCCCCCAAGGCUGUAGCCCACCCGUUUUUGUGGCCUUUUUCCGCUGGACAAACUUGGCGCCCCAGCCUUCGGGCAGUGAUUUUUGGGCGCGGCUGUGCCCGAAGCCUAUUUUUGGCACACGGAGGCACCUCGUAAGGUCUCGCACCAUUCCGAGUCCGGCGGACGAAGUUGGCCUGCCCCACCCCCCAAGGCUAUAGCCCACCCGUUUUUAUGGCCUUUUUCCGCUGGACGAACUUGGCGCCCCAGCCUUCGGGCGGUUAUUUUUGGGUGCGGCUGUCUCCGCGGCCUAUUUUUGGCACACGGAGACCCCUCGCAAAGUCUCGCACCAUUCCGCGCCGGCGGACGAAGUUGGCCAGCCCCACCCCCCAAGGCUAUAGUCCACCCGUUUUUGUGGCCUUUUUCCGCUGGACGAACUUGGUGCCCCAGCCUUCGGCCGGUUAUUUUUGGGUGCAGCUUUGCCCGCGGCCUAUUUACUGCACACGGAGACCGCUCAUAAAGUCUCGUGGCAUUCCGAGUCCGGCGGACGAACUUGGCCAGCCCCACCCCCCAAGGCUAUAGCCCACCCGUUUUUGUGGCCUUUUUCCGCUGGACGAACUUGGCGCCGCGGCCUUCGGGCGGUGAUUUUUGGGCGCGGCUGUGCCCGAAGCCUAUUUUUGGCACACGGAGGUGCCUCGCAUAGUCUCGCGCCAUUCCGAGUCAUGCGGACGAAGUUGGCCAGCCUCACCCCCCAAGGCUAUAGCCCACCCCGUUUUGUGGCCUUUAUCCGCUGGACGAACUUGGCGCCCCGGCCUUCGGGCGGUUAUUUUUGGGCGUGGCUGUGUCCGCUGCCUAUUUUUGGCUCACGGAGGCCCCUCGCAAAGUCUCGCGCCAUUCCGAAGACAGCGGACGAAGUUGGCCAGCCCCACCCCCCAGGCUAUAGCCCACCCGUUUUUUGUGGCUUUUUCCGCUGGACGAACUUGGCACCCCAGCCUUCGGCCGGUUAUUUUUGGGCGUAGCUUUGCCCGCGGCCUAUUUACUGCACACGGAGACCGCUCAUAAAGUCUCGUGGCAUUACGAGUCCGGCGGACGAACUUGGCCAGCCCCACCCCCCAAGGCUAUAGCCCACCCGUUUUUGUGGCCUUUUUCCGAAGGACGAACUUGGCGCCCCGGCCUUCGGGCGGUGAUUUUUGGGCGCGGCUGUGCCCGAAGCCUAUUUUUGGCACACAGAGGUGCCUCACGAAUUCUCGCGCCAUUCCGAGUCAUGCGGACGAAGUUGGCCAGCCCCACCCCCCAAGCCUAUAGCCCACCCGUUUUUGUGGCCUUUUUCCGCUGGACGAACUUGGCGCCCCGGCCUACGAACGGUUAUUUUUGGGCGCGGCUGUGUCCGCAGCCUAUUUUUGGCACACGGAGGCCCCUCGCAAAGUCUCGCGGAAUUCCGAGUCCGACGGACGAAGUUGGCCAGCCCCACCCCCCAAGGCCAUAGCCCACCCAUUUUUGUGGCCUUUUUCCGCUGGACGAACUUGGCGCCCCGGGCUUCGGGCAGUUAUUUUUGGGCGCGGCUGUGCCAGUGGCAUAGUUUUGGCACACGGAGGCGCCUCACAAAGUCUCGCGCCAUUCCAAGUCCGGCGGACGAAGUUGGCCAGCCCCACCCCCCAAGGCUAUAGCCCACCCAUUUUUGUGGCCUUUUUCCGCUGGACGAACUUGGCGCCCCGGCCUUCGGGCGUUUAUUUUUGGGCGCGGCUGUGCCCGCGGCCUAAUUUUGGCACACGGAGGUGCCUCGCGAAGUCUCGCGCCAUUCCGAGUCCGGCGGACGAAGUUGGCCAGCCCCACCCCCCAAGGCUGUAGCCCACCCGUUUUUGUGGCCUUUUUCCACUGGACAAACUUGGCGCCCCCGCCUUCGGGCCGGAAUUUUUGGGCGCGGCUGUGCCGGAAGCCUAUUUUUGGCACACGGAGGCACCUCACAAAGUCUCGCACCAUUCCGAGUCCGGCGGACGAAGUUGGCCAGCCCCACCCCCCAAUGCUAUAGCCCACCCGUUUUUAUGGCCUUUUUCCGCUGGACGAACUUGGCGCCCCGGCCUUCAGGCGGUGAUUUUUGGGUGCGGCUGUGCCCGUAGCCUAUUUUUGGCACACAGAGGCACCUCGCAAAGUCUCGGGCCAUUCCGAGUCCGGCGGACGAAGUUCGCCAGCCCCGCCCCCCAAGGCUAUAGCCAACCGUUUUUGUGGGCUUUUUCCGCUGGACGAACAUGGCACCCCGGCCUUCGGGCGGUUAUUUUUGGCCGCGGCUGUGCCCGUGGCCUAUUUUUGGCACGCGGAGGUGCCUCGUAAAGUCUCGCGCCAUUCCGAGUCCGGCGGACGAAGUUGGCCAGCCCCACCCCCCAAGGCUAUAGCCCACCCGUUUUUGUGGCCUUUUUCCGCUGGACGAACUUGGCGCCCCGACCAUCAGGCAGUUAUUUUUGGGCACGGCUGUGUCCGCAGCCUAUUUUCUGCACACGGAGGCCCCUCGCAAAGUCUCGCGCCAUUCCGAGUCCGGCGGACGAAGUUGGCCAGCCCCACACCCCAAUGCUAUAGCCCACCCGUUUUUGUGGCCUUUUUCCGCUGGAUGAACUUGGCGCUCCAGCCUUCGGGCGGUUAUUUUUGGGCGUGGCUGUGCAUGUGGCCUAUUUUUGGCACACGGAGGUGCCUCGCAAAGUAUCGUGCCAAUCCGAGUCCGGCGGACGAAGUGGGUCAGCCCCACCCCCCAAGGCUAUAGCCAACCGUUUUUGUGGGCUUUUUCCGGUGGACGAACUUGGCGCCCCGGCCUUCGGGCGGUUAUUUUUGGGCGUUGCUGUGCCCGCGGCCUAUUUUUUGCAAUCGGAGGCACCUCGCAAAGUCUCGCGCCAUUCCGAGUCCGGCGGAUGAAGUUGGCCAGCCCCACCCCCCAAGGUUAUAGCCCACCCGUUUUUGGGGCAUUUUCCCGCUGGACGAACAUGGCGCCCCGGCCUUCGGGCGGUUAUUUUUGGGCGCGGCUGUGUCCGCGGCCUAUUUUUGGCACACAGAGGCGCCUCGCAAAGUCUCGCGCCAUUCCGAGUCCGGCGGACGAAGUUGUCCAGCCCCACCCCCCAAGGCUAUAGCCCACCCGUUUUUGUGGCCUUUUUCCGCUGGACGAACUUGGCGCCCCGGCCUUCGGGCGGUUAUUUUUGGGAGCGGCUGUGCCCGCAGCCUAUUUUUGGCACAUGGAGGCACCUNNNNNNNNNNNNNNNNNNNNNNNNNNNNNNNNNNNNNNNNNNNNNNNNNNNNNNNNNNNNNNNNNNNNNNNNNNNNNNNNNNNNNNNNNNNNNNNNNNNNNNNNNNNNNGCCCCGGCAAUUCGGGAGCUGGUAGAUUUUUGGGUGCGGCUGUGCCCGCAGUCUAUUUUUGGCACACGGAGGCACCUCGCAAAGUCUCGCGCCAUUCCGAGUCCGGCGGACGAAGUUCGCCAGCCCCACCCCCAAAGGUUAUAGCCCACCCGUUUUUGUGGCCUUUUUCCGCUGCACGAACUUGGCGCCCCGGCCUUCGGGCUGUUAUUUUUGGCCACGGCUGUGUCUGCGGCCUAUUUUUGCCACACGGAGGCACCUCGCAAAGUCUCGCGCCAUUCCGAGUCCGGCGGACGAAGUUCGCCAGCCCCACCCCCCAAUGCUAUAGCCCACCCGUUUUUGUGGCCUUUUUCCGCUGGACGAACUUGGCGCCCCGGCCUUCGGGCGGUGAUUUUUGGGUGCGGCUGUGCCCGCAGCCUAUUUUUGGCACACGGAGGCACCUCGCAAAGUCUCGCGCCAUUCCGAGUCCGGCUGACGAAGUUCGCCAGCCCCACCCCCCAAUGCUAUAGCCCAACCGUUUUUGUGGCCUUUUUCCGCUGCACGAACUUGGCGCCCCGGCCUUCGGGCGGUUAUUUUUGGGCGCGGCUGUGCCCGCAGCCUAUUUUUGGCACACGGAGGCACCUCGCAAAAUCUCGCGGCAUUCCGAGUCCGGCGGACGAAGUUGGCCAGCCCCACACCCCAAUGCUAUAGCCCACCCGCAGCCUAUUUCCUGCACACGGAAGCCCCUCGCAAAGUCUCGCGCCAUUCCGAGUCCAGCGGACGAAGUUGGCCAGCCCCACAUCCCAAUGCUAUAGCCCACCCGUUUUUGUGGCCUUUUUCCGCUGGACGAACUUGGCGCUCCAGCCUUCGGGCGGUUAUUUUUUGGGCAUGGCUGUGCAUGUGGCCUAUUUUUGGCACACGGAGGUGCCUCGCAAAGUAUCGCGCCAAUCCGAGUCCGGCGGACGAAGUUGGUCAGCCCCACCCCCAAAGGCUAUACCCAACCGUUUUUGUGGCCUUUUUCCGCUGCACGAACUUGGCGCCCCGGCCUUCGGGCCGUUAUUUUUGGCCACGGCUGUGUCAGCGGCCUAUUUUUGGCACACCGAGGCUAUAGCCCACCCCUCAAGGCUAUAGCCCACCCGUUUUUGUGGCCUUUUUCGGCUGGACGAACUUGGCGCCUCUGCCUUCGGGCUGUUAUUUUUGGGUGCGGCUGACCCCGCGGCCUAUUAUUGGCACACGGAGGCGCCUUACAAAGUCUCGCGCUAUUCCGAGUUCGGCGGACGAUGUUGGCCAGCCCCACCCAAGGCUAUAGCCCACCCGUGUUUGUGGCAUAUUUCCGCAGGACGUACUUGGCGCCCCGGCCUUCGGGCGGUUAUUUUUUGGCACGGCUGUGCCCGCGGCCUAUUUUUGGCACACGGAGGCGCCUCGCAAAGUCUCGUGCAAUUGCGAGUCCGGCGGACGAAGUUGGCCAGCCCCACCCCCCAAGGCUAUAGCCCACCCGUUUUUGUGGCCUUUUUCCGCUGGACGAACUUGGCGCUCCAGCCUUCGGGCGGUUAUUUUUUGGGCGUGGCUGUGCAUGUGGCCUAUUUUUGGCACACGGAGGUGCCUCGCAAAGUAUCGCGCCAAUCCGAGUCCGGCGGACGAAGUUGGUCAGCCCCACCCCCAAAGGCUAUAGCCAACCGUUUUUGUGGCCUUUUUCCGCUGCACGAACUUGGCGCCCCGGCCUUCGGGCCGUUAUUUUUGGCCACGGCUGUGUCAGCGGCCUAUUUUUGGCACACCGAGGCUAUAGCCCACCCCUCAAGGCUAUAGCCCACCCGUUUUUGUGGCCUUUUUCGGCUGGACGAACUUGGCGCCUCUGCCUUCGGGCUGUUAUUUUUGGGUGCGGCUGUGCCCGCGGCCUAUUAUUGGCACACGGAGGCGCCUUACAAAGUCUCGCGCUAUUCCGAGUUCGGCGGACGAUGUUGGCCAGCCCCACCCAAGGCUAUAGCCCACCUGUUUUUGUGGCAUAUUUCCGCAGGACGUACUUGGCGCCCCGGCCUUCGGGCGGUUAUUUUUUGGCACGGCUGUGCCCGCGGCCUAUUUUUGGCACACGGAGGCGCCUCGCAAAGUCUCGCGCCAUUCCGAGUCCGGCGGACGAAGUUGGCCAGCCCCACCCCACAAGGCUAUAGCCCACCCGUUUUUGUGGCCUUUUUCCGCUGGACGAACUUGGCGCUCCAGCCUUCGGGCGGUUAUUUUUGGGCGUGGCUGUGCAUGUGGCCUAUUUUUGGCACAUGGAGGUGCCUCGCAAAGUAUUGCGCCAAUCCGAGUCCGGCGGACGAAGUUGGUCAGCCCCACCCCCCAAGGCUAUAGCCAACCGUUUUUGUGGGCUUUUUCUGCUGGACAAACGUGGCGCCCCGGCCUUCGGGCGGUUAUUUUUGGGCGCGGCUGUGCCCGCAACCUAAAUUUGGCACACAGAGGCACCUCCCAAAGUCUCGCACCAUUCCGAGUCCGGCGGACGAAGUCGGCCAGCCCCACCCCCCAAGGCUAUACCCCACCCGUUUUUGUGCCCUUUUUCCGCUGCACGAACUUGGCGCCCCGGCCUUUGGGCCGUUAUUUUUGGCCACGGCUGUGGCCACGGCAUAUUUUUGGCACACGGAGGCACCUCGUAAAGUCUCGCGCCAUUCCGAGUCCGGCGGAUGAAGUUCGCCCGCCCCACCCCCGAAUGCUAUAGCCCACCCGUUUUUGUGGCCUUUUUCCGCUGGACGAACUUGGCGCCCCGGCCUUCGGGCCGUGAUUUUUGGGUGUGGCUGUGCCCGCAGCCUAUUUUUGGCACACGGAGGCACUUCGCAAAGUCUCGCGCCAUUCCGAGUCCGGCGGACGAAGUUCGUCAGCCCCACCCCCCAAUGCUAUAGCCCACCCGUUUUUGUGGCCUUUUUCCGCUGGACGAAUUUGGCGCCCCGGCCUUCGGGUGGUUAUUUUUGGACGCGGCUUUGCCCGUGGCCUAUUUUUGGCACACGGAGGCAACUCGCAAAGUCUCGCGGCAUUCCGAGUCCGGCGGACGAAGUUGGCCAGCCCCACCCCCCAAGGCUAUAGCCCACCCGUUUUUUUUGGCUUUUUCCGCUGGACGAACUUGGCGCCCCGGCCUUCGGGCAGUUAUUUUUGGGCGCGGCUGUGCCAGUGGCAUAGUUUUGGCACACGGAGGUGCCUCGAAAAGGCUCACGCCAUUGCGAGUCCGGCGGACGAAGUUGGCCAGCCCCACCCCCCAAGGCUAUAGCCCACCCAUUUUUGUGGCCUUUUUCCGCUGGACGAACUUGGUGCUCCGGCCUUCGGGCGUUUAUUUUUGGGCGCGGCUGUUCCCACGGCCUAUUUUUGGCACACGGAGGUGCCUCGCGAAGUCUCGCGCCAUUCCGAGUCCGGCGGACGAAGUUGGCCAGCCCCACCCCCCAAGGCUAUAGCCCACCCAUUUUUGUGGCCUUUUUCCGCUGGACGAACUUAGCGCCCCGGGCUUCGGGCAUUUAUUUUUGGGCGCGGCUGUGUCCGCGGCCUAUUUUUGGCACACGGAGGUGCCUCGCGAAGUCUCGCGCCAUUCCGAGACCAGAGGAUGAAGUUGGCCAGCCCCACCCCCCAAGGCUGUAGCCCACCCGUUUUUGUGGCCUUUUUCCGCUGGACAAACUUGGCGCCCCAGCCUUCGGGCAGUGAUUUUUGGGCGCGGCUGUGCCCGAAGCCUAUUUUUGGCACACGGAGGCCCCUCGCAAAGUCUCGCGCCAUUCCGAGUCCGGCGGACGAAGUUGGCCAGCCCCACCCCCCAAGGCUAUAGCCCACCCGUUUUUGUGGCCUUUUUCCGCUGGACGAACUUGGUGCCCCAGCCUUCGGCCGGUUAUUUUUGGGCGCAGCUUUGCCCGCGGCCUAUUUACUGCACACGGAGACCGCUCAUAAAGUCUCGUGGCAUUCCGAGUCCAGCGGACGAACUUGGCCAGCCCACCCCCCAAGGCUAUAGCCCACCCGUUGUUGUGGCCUUUUUCCGCUGGACGAACUUGGCUCCCCGGCCUUCGGGCGGUGAUUUUUGGGUGCGGCUGUGCCCAAAGCCUAUUUUUGGCACACGGAGGCGCCUCGCAAAGUCUCGCACCAUUCCGAGUCAUGCGGACGAAGUUGGCCAGCCCCACUCCCCAAGGCUAUAGCCCACCCGUUUUUGUGGCCUUUUUCCGCUGGACGAACGGGGCGCCCCGGCCUUCAGGCGGUUAUUUUUGGGCGCGGCUGUGUUCGCGGCCUAUUUUGGAACGCGGAGCCUCCUCGUAAAGUCUCGCGCCAUUCCGAGUCCGGCGGACGAAGUUGGCCAGCCCCACCCCCCAAGGCUAUAGCCCACCCGUUUUUGUGGCCUUUUUCCGCUGGACGAACUUGGUGCCCCAGCCUUCGGCCGGUUAUUUUUGGGCGCGGCUUUGCCCGCGGCCUAUUUACUGCACACGGAGACCGCUCAUAAAGUCUCGUGGCAUUCCGAGUCCAGCGGACGAACUUGGCCAGCCCACCCCCCAAGGCUAUAGCCCACCCGUUGUUGUGGCCUUUUUCCGCUGGACGAACUUGGCUCCCCGGCCUUCGGGCGGUGAUUUUUGGCCGCGGCUGUGUCCGAAGCCUAUUUUUGGCACACGGAGGCGCCUCGCAAAGUCUCGCACCAUUCCGAGUCAUGCGGACGAAGUUGGCCAGCCCCACCCCCCAAGGCUAUAGCCCACCCGUUUUUGUGGCCUUUUUCCGCUGGACGAACUUGGCGCCCCGACCAUCGGGCAGUUAUUUUUGGGCGCGGCUGUGCCCGCAGCCUAUUUUCUGCACACGGAGGCCCCUCGCAAAGUCUCGCGCCAUUCCGAGUCCGGCGGACGAAGUUGGCCAGCCCCACACCCCAAUGCUAUAGCCCACCCGUUUUUGUGGCCUUUUUCCGCUGGAUGAACUUGGCGCUCCAGCCUUCGGGCGGUUAUUUUUGGGCGUGGCUGUGCAUGUGGCCUAUUUUUGGCACACGGAGGUGCCUCGCAAAGUAUCGUGCCAAUCCGAGUCCGGCGGACGAAGUGGGUCAGCCCCACCCCCCAAGGCUAUAGCCAACCGUUUUUGUGGGCUUUCCGGUGGACGAACUUGGCGCCCCGGCCUUCGGGCGGUUAUUUUUGGGCGUUGCUGUGCCCGCGGCCUAUUUUUUGCAAUCGGAGGCACCUCGCAAAGUCUCGCGCCAUUCCGAGUCCGGCGGAUGAAGUUGGCCAGCCCCACCCCCCAAGGUUAUAGCCCACCCGUUUUUGGGGCAUUUUCCCGCUGGACGAACAUGGCGCCCCGGCCUUCGGGCGGUUAUUUUUGGGCGCGGCUGUGUCCGCGGCCUAUUUUUGGCACACAGAGGCGCCUCGCAAAGUCUCGCGCCAUUCCGAGUCCGGCGGACGAAGUUGGCCAGCCCCACCCCCCAAGGCUAUAGCCCACCCGUUUUUGUGGCCUUUUUUCGCUGGACGAACUUGGCGCCCCGGCCUACUUUUGGCAGACGGAGGCGCCUCGCAAAGUCUCGCGCCAUUCCAAGUCCAGCGGGCGAAGUUGGCUAGCCCCACACCCCAAUGCUAUAGCCCACCCGUUUUUGUGGCCUUUUUCCGCUGGACGAACUUGGCGCUCCAGCCUUCGGGCGGUUAUUUUUUGGGCGUGGCUGUGCAUGUGGCCUAUUUUUGGCACACGGAGGUGCCUCGCAAAGUAUCGCGCCAAUCCGAGUCCGGCGGACGAAGUUGGUCAGCCCCACCCCCAAAGGCUAUAGCCAACCGUUUUUGUGGCCUUUUUCCGCUGCACGAACUUGGCGCCCCGGCCUUCGGGCCGUUAUUUUUGGCCACGGCUGUGUCAGCGGCCUAUUUUUGGCACACCGAGGCUAUAGCCCACCCCUCAAGGCUAUAGCCCACCCGUUUUUGUGGCCUUUUUCGGCUGGACGAACUUGGCGCCUCUGCCUUCGGGCUGUUAUUUUUGGGUGCGGCUGUGCCCGCGGCCUAUUAUUGGCACACGGAGGCGCCUUACAAAGUCUCGCGCUAUUCCGAGUUCGGCGGACGAUGUUGGCCAGCCCCACCCAAGGCUAUAGCCCACCUGUUUUUGUGGCAUAUUUCCGCAGGACGUACUUGGCGCCCCGGCCUUCGGGCGGUUAUUUUUUGGCACGGCUGUGCCCGCGGCCUAUUUUUGGCACACGGAGGCGCCUCGCAAAGUCUCGCGCCAUUCCGAGUCCGGCGGACGAAGUUGGCCAGCCCCACCCCCCAAGGCUAUAGCCCACCCGUUUUUGUGGCCUUUUUCCGCUGGACGAACUUUGGCGCCCCGGCAUUCGGGCGGUUAUUUUUGGGCGCGGCUGUGCCCGUGGCCUAUUUUUGGCACACGGAGGCGCCUCGCAAAGUCUCGCGCCAUUCCGAGUCCGGCGGACGAAGUUGGCCAGCCCCACCCCCCAAGGCUAUAGCCCACCCGUUUUUGUGGCCUUUUUCCGCUGGACGAACUUGGCGCUCCAGCCUUCGGGCGGUUAUUUUUGGGCGUGGCUGUGCAUGUGGCCUAUUUUUGGCACAUGGAGGUGCCUCGCAAAGUAUUGCACCAAUCCGAGUCCGGCGGACGAAGUUGGUCAGCCCCACCCCCCAAGGCUAUAGCCAACCGUUUUUGUGGGCUUUUUCUGCUGGACGAACGUGGCGCCCCGGCCUUCGGGCGGUUAUUUUUGGGCGCGGCUGUGCCUGCAACCUAAAUUUGGCACACGGAGGCACCUCCCAAAGUCUCGCACCAUUCCGAGUCCGGCGGACGAAGUCGGCCAGCCCCACCCCCCAAGGCUAUACCCCACCCGUUUUUGUGCCCUUUUUCCGCUGCACGAACUUGGCGCCCCGGCCUUCGGGCCGUUAUUUUUGGCCACGGCUGUGGCCACGGCCUAUUUUUGGCACACGGAGGCACCUCGUAAAGUCUCGCGCCAUUCCGAGUCCGGCGGACGAAGUUCGCCAGCCCCACCCCCGAAUGCUAUAGCCCACCCGUUUUUGUGGCCUUUUUCCGCUGGACGAACUUGGCGCCCCGGCCUUCGGGCCGUGAUUUUUGGGUGUGGCUGUGCCCGCAGCCUAUUUUUGGCACACGGAGGCACUUCGCAAAGUCUCGCGCCAUUCCGAGUCCGGCGGACGAAGUUCGUCAGCCCCACCCCCCAAUGCUAUAGCCCACCCGUUUUUGUGGCCUUUUUCCGCUGGACGAAUUUGGCGCCCCGGCCUUCGGGUGGUUAUUUUUGGACGCGGCUUUGCCCGUGGCCUAUUUUUGGCACACGGAGGCAACUCGCAAAGUCUCGCGGCAUUCCAAGUCCGGCGGACGAAGUUGGCCAGCCCCACCCCCCAAGGACAUAGCCCACCCAUUUUUGUGGCCUUUUUCCGCUGGACGAACUUGGCGCCCCGGCCUUCGGGCAGUUAUUUUUGGGCGCGGCUGUGCCAGUGGCAUAGUUUUGGCACACGGAGGUGCCUCGAAAAGGCUCACGCCAUUGCGAGUCCGGCGGACGAAGUUGGCCAGCCCCACCCCCCAAGGCUAUAGCCCACCCAUUUUUGUGGCCUUUUUCCGCUGGACGAACUUGGUGCUCCGGCCUUCGGGCGUUUAUUUUUGGGCGCGGCUGUUCCCACGGCCUAUUUUUGGCACACGGAGGUGCCUCGCGAAGUCUCGCGCCAUUCCGAGUCCGGCGGACGAAGUUGGCCAGCCCCACCCCCCAAGGCUAUAGCCCACCCAUUUUUGUGGCCUUUUUCCGCUGGACGAACUUGGCGCCCCGGGCUUCGGGCAUUUAUUUUUGGGCGCGGCUGUGUCCGCGGCCUAUUUUUGGCACACGGAGGUGCCUCGCGAAGUCUCGCGCCAUUCCGAGACCAGAGGAUGAAGUUGGCCAGCCCCACCCCCCAAGGCUGUAGCCCACCCGUUUUUGUGGCCUUUUUCCGCUGGACAAACUUGGCGCCCCAGCCUUCGGGCAGUGAUUUUUGGGCGCGGCUGUGCCCGAAGCCUAUUUUUGGCACACGGAGGCCCCUCGCAAAGUCUCGCGCCAUUCCGAGUCCGGCGGACGAAGUUGGCCAGCCCCACCCCCCAAGGCUAUAGCCCACCCGUUUUUGUGGCCUUUUUCCGCUGGACGAACUUGGUGCCCCAGCCUUCGGCCGGUUAUUUUUGGGCGCAGCUUUGCCCGCGGCCUAUUUACUGCACACGGAGACCGCUCAUAAAGUCUCGUGGCAUUCCGAGUCCAGCGGACGAACUUGGCCAGCCCACCCCCCAAGGCUAUAGCCCACCCGUUGUUGUGGCCUUUUUCCGCUGGACGAACUUGGCUCCCCGGCCUUCGGGCGGUGAUUUUUGGGCGCGGCUGUGCCCGAAGCCUAUUUUUGGCACACGGAGGUGCCUCACGAAGUCUCGCGCCAUUCCGAGUCAUGCGGACGAAGUUGGCCAGCCCCACUCCCCAAGGCUAUAGCCCACCCGUUUUUGUGGCCUUUUUCCGCUGGACGAACUUGGCGCCCCGGCCUUCGGGCGGUUAUUUUUGGGCGCGGCUUUGCCCGCAGCCUAUUUUCUGCACACGGAGUCCCCUCGUAAAGUCUCACGGCAUUCCGAGUCCGGCCGACAAAGUUGGCCAGCCCCACCCCCCAAGGCUAUAACCCACCCAUUUUUGUGGCCUUUUUCCGCUGGACGAACGGGGCGCCCCGGCCUUCGGGCGGUUAUUUUUCGCCGCGGCUGUGCCCGCGGGCUAUUUUUGGCACACGGAGGCACCUCGCAAAGUCUUAUGCCAUUCCGAGUCCGGCGGACGAAGUCGGCCAGCCCCACCCCCCAAUGCUAUAGCCCGCCCGUUAUUGUGGCCUUUAUCCGCUGGACGAACUUGGCACCCCGGCCUUCGGGCGGUUAUUUUUGAGCGCGGCUGUGUCCGCGGCCUAUUUUGGGCACACGGAAGCCCCUCGCAAAGUCUCGCGCCAUUCCGAGUCCGGCGGACGAAGUUGGCCAGCCCCACCCCCCAAGGCUAUAGCCCACCCGUUUUUGUGGCCUUUUUCCGCUGGACGAAUUUGGCGCCCCAGCCUUCGGGGGGUUAUUUUUGGGCGCGGCUUUGCCCGCGGCCUAUUUACUGCACACGGAGACCGCUCAUAAAGUCUCGUGGCAUUCCGAGUCCGGCGGACGAAGU